GGCCCAGGGUCUGGCCGGGGCAGCCGCUGUGGGCCCUGCCACCCUGGAGCCCGCGGAGGAGCUGGGGGCGAUGGGCCCAGCCCCUGAGGAUAAGAGAUCUGAGACCCUUGGGGCAGCUUGAGAGCCACAGAGGAAUGUCGGUGGGAGAAACAAUGAAAUAUCAGUAUGAAAACUGUGGUGCAGAGGCCCAAGAUGCUGGGAUUGAGGAGGAAAGAGAGAAAGUUAACAGAAAACAAGGCGGACCAGAAAAGGAUCCGGACCAGGAAGAGAGCAAGCCCGGAUUCCAGGAGUAGAAAAGGAUGGAGAAAGAAGAAAGAAUCUGUUCUUCACUUCAUCACCUGAAAAGUGACAUCCACUGACGUGAUAGUUCUCUAACCUUUUACAGAUGUAUUUAAUAGCAUGUGUUCACGUUUUAAGUUUGUUUUAGAUAAGUUGAAACAUAGGCA